rnacentral:lncRNA from 1 species
UUUAACUUAGUCUUGCUUUUAUACGCGUUGGGUAGGUCUAGGGCCGAAAUAACCUUGUCCCGGGCAAAGUUGGACAAACUUCCGUCACCAGCAUCCAGCCCAGGGCCCCACGCUGGCCCUGGCGCUGGGCUUCUUGAUCAUUCUGCCUGUGGCUCUGAAAAUCCGGGGUUUCCUUUUUUCGUCCGUUUUGGCUCUAAUCUCGCACAUUUCACCCCCAAUUGCUUCUGGAUGAUUCCUACACAUAAAAACACCCCCAAUUAAUAUAAAUCAACACAUUUUACAUCCUAAAUCUACUAAACACGAGUAAAACAUGAGGCGAUAUACAUAUAAAUAUAUAUACUUUAAGCUAAAUAUCAACACCCCACACUUAGACUCUUGCUCGUCCUCGAGCAAUAGGACUAUCAAAUAUACCCCCAACUACGUACAAAUCUCAACUAUAGAGGAGCACUUCAACUUUUAACCAUACACUCUACCCUUGACUAUGAUCACUACCGGCAAUCAAGCUUGAACAUGCAAAAUUUACAUUCUUCCCGUUUUAAGCAUGCCCAAGUAUAACAUUUCAAUUCAAUCAAUUCAAACAACCUAUCGGUAACCACCCAACCUCAAGAGUCGACUCGUUACCACUAAGCACCCUCAACUCGCGUACUCAUCCAACAAGAUACGUUUACAACACUACCAAUCAUUCAUGAGAUCAUGUGCCCUCACCAACAAACAAAAGAGUGAAUAUAGACUAGUCCACACAUUCAAGUAUACUUUUGAAUAUAAAUUAAGGACAUCACACAAUUGAACAAAAUUCGCUCACUCUCACAAAGAAUUCAUAUGCAUCCCGUGGUCGUACCACAAGCUUACCCGUAGUGUACAUCUCUACUAAUCUAAGCUAGCCAAAUCUAGGAUCAAUUAGGACUUUAAGAUUGUUAUAAAGGCGAAGGGGCGGAUAUGAUACAUUUAGGAAUAGUGACUAACCCUCCUAGGCACUUUAAUACACCACACUCACAAAUCGAGCACAUAUUCUUCUCAACCAAUUCACUUGCCAUAAACCAUAUACAACAUAGUCCCCUUUUUCAUUAAGCACUUCUAUACUCCCACUAGCACAAAUUAGUAAAAUUAGGAGGUGUGUGUUUUUCUACAUACUUUGACUAUCAUUUUUUCUUGCAAUUUUUCUUUUCCUUUAUCUUUUUUUUUCUUUUUUCUUCUCUUGUACACGCUCCACACAUUAAAGUUCAUCGGCUAGUGACUUUUGAUUUCAACUUUAGUGCACCAAAAGGCCCUUCCAUGGUUCCACUCAAGCGCAACUCCCCAAUCUCCCACCUUACUUCUUUUAGCGACUAAGUGCCUUAGGAGGUAAAGGUUCAACAAUCUCAAAUUAAGAACAAAAUAGGGGUAUGGCUUUUAAUAUGGUUGCCAAAAGAAAGGUCUAUAGGCUCAAAGGGGCUAGCAACUGAAAAUUUUAUCUUCAAGUGACAAGCAUAUCAGUGCUCUAGCAAUAAACGCCUAUGUCAUUUCCUAGAUUAGUACAACUUAACAAUUUCGCUUCGAUUAACACACAUGGCAAGUUCUAGACUACACAGGAUAGCACAAAGAAUUAUAAUUCCUCACACACACAUUGCACAUGAAUCAAUCAAGACGGUUUUGUUCAAUUCUCAAGUCAAGCAAGUACCUAUAAUUGAGAAAAUUAAGCAAUAAUGCACUAUGUGGUAUACAAGUCGAACAACUGAGGAAAAGCGUCACAAAAUAGGCUAUUUACUUUACUUUGACGAUACAAUUCAAACCAUAUGCACAUGAAGAUAGAAUGUAUGUCAUAGCCUAAUGUGCCAGCAUCAACCACGUCAAUGAAUAUCUCACAGCAACUCAGUUUCUUCCUAACCUACUCCUAAAAUAAUAAAGUACCCGGUUCGAGAUACACCCUUGGAAAAGAAUCGGUGCCCAAAGAAAAAUCAAGGGAUACUACCUAACUAUCCUAAAAAAAUGAUAUUUUUUCUCGGACUUUAUCCCUCAAGAAAAUUGUCCAAAAAAUCCAUCGUCAGAAAAAGUCCGAGCUUUUUCUGAUUUUGUUUUUAAAAUAAACUAGACUAAGUAAAACUAAUAAAAGAAAUAAAUUGAUACAAGUUAUACAAUUUACAUCACAUGUAGUAUUUCUCCCACCCCACACUUAGCUUAUGCAUAGUCCCCGAUGCAUAUAAAAAUAUAAAACAGAAUAGGGUGACAAGAAAACUCCCUGUCAGUCGGAGUCCUCCUCCUCAGCAUGCCCUCCAUCCAUAGUUUCGGGCACAUCAUCAUCCGGUCCUAGAGGCACCAAAGCCAUGGCCCCCGUUACAUCAUCACCAACCUCGCCCUCCGUGUCUGAGCCUUUGAUAGUGUUUGCAUCCUCCGACGAGUGAACGGGGCUGCCAAGCGCAAUCCCUAACAUUUCUUUGGAGGAACUAGAUAAGUCAUUGCAUAAAUGCAUACGCUCUUCGUCUGAGACACCAACCCUGCUCAUGAUUAAAUUCAAGGAGUUAUAAAGAUACCUGUUGAAGUUCUCGUCUCGUUCAUUACGUGCAGCCUGAGUAAGCUUAGACGUAGGCUCUAAUAAGGAUGUGAUAUCCAACAGCCCUUUAGGUGCCUCCACUACCUCAUCAUACCCUAGGUACUCUAACACCUCUCGGGAGAGCAUAUAUUGCGUAAGCAAGUUGUCGAAGAAGAACCUCCUAAUAUGUCGCCCAAAUCGCGUGCGGGCUAUUUCACCGAGCAUGAUCUCGCCCACAUUAAUUGGUCUGCCAGUCAUCAAAAAGAAUAUGACACACACUCGAGCUCGAGUGCAGUUGAUGUUGUGCUCCACAGGAAUGAGUCUGGCUUGCACAAAAUUCCGCCACUCUUUGGCGGUCUUGUUGAAAGUAGAGCGAACCAUAUGAAGAUGAAUAUUACCUUGCUUUUUGGUCCACUUGGCAUUUGAAUCUACCCCACAAAGAGUGUGACUUAUCGCCUUGUAGCUCGGGCUUUUGACAAAUUUAGUUAGCCUCCUUGGGUCGGCAUUCUCAACCCCCAAAAAUGCAUAAAAAGAUCGCCUAUCCAGAGGCACGUCUAUUCCACGGACAUGUUUGCAUUCCAGUUGGCGUAUAGUUCCCGCACCAUGCUCAAAUUCGCAUGCCCGGGAAAUUCUAUAAGUUUGUCCAUGUUCAGUGCACGCAAUCGGCCAAGUACAUGUGGGGAGUUUCUUUCUAAAGUUUUUACAUUAAUCCCCAUUUCAGAAACGUACCACCCAGAUGGCACGAAGCCCCUAUGCCAUGCAAUAGCCUCAUCAGUACUUAAAUUCAAGCGAGGUCGUGGUCGCAAUGGUACACGUUGUGAUCCCUCAACAACUUGUUUUCCUUUAGCUUGCCUCGAGGAUCUUUCUCCUUGCUUGCGCUUUUUGGGCGCGGGGGCUGUGGUGGAAGACUUUCCUAUUCCUUUGCCUUUUCUUGCCAUAGCAACAUGCAACACAGAUAAGCAUGAAUGUGAGAACAUAUCAACAAAUCUGCCUAAGGUUGUCGCGCGCGUCAAAAAUGACCCCACACUUAAAUCCGAAGGCUCAAUGUACAAUACUUCACAAUUUUGAUCUAAAAUGCACAAGUGUUGCAUUCCAAGGCCAUGGGUACUCAUGACUUCCCUAGCCACACAAUAGCUAAAAGGCACUAAUCAAUGACACACAAACAAGUAAUUAAUCAUGGCUUAGUGAAUUUACCUUAAUACAAGAAAGUGGCAUAUGGUACUUUAAUUUCCACAAUUACUAUAACUACAUUAAAUUAGCUAACUCUACAACACUAUACAAUAUACAUCAUAUAGGAUACAUGGUGUGGGCAACAUGUGUGCAUUGAAAUCAUGCUCCCAAGCAUUAAAAAUCAUCCCCACACACCCCAUACUUAGCCAAAUAUCAUAUACAAAUACACUCGAUUACUCAGACUUCACCGGUGCACCCAAUAUUCAUUCAAACAGUCUAACAAACACCUUGUGGGCAUGAAGUGUGUGCAUUCUAGUUUAACAAUGGUGGAAUAUUAUGGCUCUCCCAAAUUUCAACGAAGUAGAGAGAAAUCUAGUUUACUACUCUGUAUACAAUACAUCCACAACAAAUUUCGGCCAAUAACUGGACCACCCACCAUAGAACAUUUCUUAAGAAACAACUUAGGUACAAAAUUUGGAGAUUAUGGCACUUGGGGGGGAAAUGGGAUGUUCGUGAUCAUCUACCUAUUAAAAUACAAAAAGAAGAAGAAGAAACCAUACAUGUAGGAUUUAGGAUGAGAACAAGAGAAGAACUCGAGAAAUUUGUGAGAUAAAAGAGUGAAGAAGCUCGGCUUUGGCUGUUGAACGUGAGAGAGAGAGAGAAAGAAAGAUGGGGAGAAAUUCGGGUGUCUAGGGAGGGGGGUUUAUUUUUUAAUUUGUGUUGUGUGUUGGUAUGGGUAUUUGAGUGGGUUGUAAUGUGAGAGAAUAUGGGUAGAUGGGUUGGUUUUAAUGGGUAUGGUUUAAAUAAAAUAUAUAAUUAACAAAAUAAAAAUAAAAAAAAAUUAAAAACUUACCUGGCCACCCCCCACCCCAGCGCCCCAUGCUAGGCCUGACGCUGAGGGGCUUAAACAUACUAGUUUGGGCGCUCCAGGCAGCGUGAGGCGAUGACCUUUUCUUUUUUUAAACCAAUUUGGACCAUUUCUCGAUUUGUGCAUGUCAUCCUUGUGUAGGGACCACGCUAAUCUUCUAUGUAUCAUUCCAAUUUUAUCGGAUGUCCCCAAAGGGACUGGGGCGCUGACCUGGGCGCUGAACUUAGCAAUUGUUUUUUUAUAACCCCGAGCCUUUUAUAUAUCUAAUUUACAUGACCCACACCAUUCUACCUAUAAAUUCUAUGUCUACAAAGAAAAUGCGAACUCUAGUCUACUCUAAAAAAAUAUUAGAAAGCUAAGCUAUGAAAACAAUAAAAAUUAGGUUGCCUCCCAACAAACGCCUGAUUUAAUGUUGCGGCACAACGCAUAGUCUCGCUUACUCAUCAACGAGUACAACCUUGGUCUUCUCACGAUUAAUUAUUCCUCCCCAGUAGUGCUUGACUCUGUGUCCAUUCACCAAAAAAUUUCUUUCACCAUUUAAAGCUCGCAGCUCAAUUGCACCCUAAGGAGUGACUCUCACCACCUCAAAUGGGCCUGACCAUCUCGAUUUUAACUUCCCAGGAAAUAUCCUUAGCAUAGAAUUGAACAAUAAUACUUGUUGUCCUGGCUCGAAGUGGCGUGUCUUGAUAUGCUUGCCAUGCCAUCUUUUUGUCUUUUCUUUGUAAAGCUUAGCAUUUUUAUAAGAGUGCAGCCUAAACUCAUCUAACGCAUGCAACUGCAAGAGUCUUUUCUCGCCCGCAGCUUCAAAGUCCAUAUUCAACUUCUUAACGGCCCAAUACGCUUUGUGUUCAAGUUCAACAUGCAAGUGAGAUGCCUUCCCAUAAACAAGUUUAUACGGCGACGUCCCAAUUGGCAUUCUGUAUGCAGUUCUAUAUGCCCACAAGGCAUCAUCUAACUUUGCAUCCCAAUCCUUCCUAUUCACACUCACUGUCUUCUCUAAGAUUUGCUUUAUUUCUCUAUUAGACACCUCAGCUUGUCCACUUGUUUGAGGAUGAUACGCCGUAGCAACUCUAUGGCGGACUCCAUAUUUAGCCAGCAGGUUAUUCAACAAUCGAUUGCAAAAAUGUGUCCCUUCAUCACUAAUCAAGGCACGUGGAGUUCCAAACCUCGAAAAUAUGUUCUUUUUCACAAAACGCAGUUACCACCAUAGCAUCAUUUGUUGGCAAUGCGAUCGCCUCUAACCAUUUUGACACAUAGUCAACUGCUAGCAGGAUGUAUUUGUUUUCCAUGGACAAUGAGAAUGGUCCCAUAAAAUCUAUCCCACACACAUCAACAAUUUUGACCUCCAGGAUGUUAUUUAAAGGCAGCUCAUGCCUCUUUAUGAUUGUUCCGGUUCUUUGACACUGGUCACACUUCUUAACAAAUGCAUGGGCAUCCUUGAAUAAUAUUGACCAAAAGAAACCGAAUUAUAAUACCUUUGUAGCUGUUCUAUUGCCUCCAUGAUGGCCCUCAUAGGGUGAUGCAUGACAAUCAUAAACCAUUAAUUCUAGGAUUAGCCUCGAUGUCACUUGGAAGAGCUCCAACUGGCCGAGUAUUUUGGGCACUGGCAAGUUGUCCCAUUUGGCGCUCCAAAUUUCUCAUUGCUGUGGCUUAGGACUGUUGGUAAGCCAUCACUUUCUUUAUCAUCUCUAUUAUGUGGUCUUGCUGGUCAGCCAUCAAUUUCUUCAUCAUUUCCUCAAGGUGACUUGGAGAGUUUGCAUGUUGUUCAGCCUGAGGUGGUCUAUAUUGUUAUUGAGGUGCUUGUGGUCGGUAUUGAUUUUGAGCACCUUGGUUUUCACCCCUAGAGAAGUUUGGGUGGUUCCUCCAGUUGGGAUUGUAAGUAUUUUCAUACUGAUUUGUCUGGCCCCUAUUUGUAUUACCCACAAAACAGACAGACUCUGGAUUAAUUGGGCAUAAGUAGCUCGUAUGACCCUCUCCGCAUACUUCACAAAACAAUUGAACUUGUUGCACUGGCUGAGCUUGUUGCUUAUUAAUAACCAAGGUCAUCUGAUUGACUUGGUUGGUCAAUGUGAAAAUCUACGUUGAUAAUACCAAAAUGACAUCCAACUCGAGAACCCCUGCAGAUAUUUGCACUGUAUGUCUGCCCAUCUCUCCUUCCCAAUCAGGAUUACUUUUGGAGAAUUUGUUCAAUAACGCAUAUAUCUCAUCAAAGAUUUUAUCCAAUACUUGACCUCCAGCUGCAGCAUCUACCACAAUCUUUGUCUCAGGGUGUAGCCUUUCUAUGAAAGUGUGAGCUAACACUUCGUUUGUCUGAUUGUGAUGAGGACAGUCUCUGAGCNNNNNNNNNNNNNNNNNNNNNNNNNNNNNNNNNNNNNNNNNNNNNNNNNNNNNNNNNNNNNNNNNNNNNNNNNNNNNNNNNNNNNNNNNNNNNNNNNNNNNNNNNNNNNNNNNNNNNNNNNNNNNNNNNNNNNNNNNNNNNNNNNNNNNNNNNNNNNNNNNNNNNNNNNNNNNNNNNNNNNNNNNNNNNNNNNNNNNNNNNNNNNNUCGCCAGAUCAUUCCAUGAUGUAAUAAAAUUAGCUGGUUCUACCUUCAGCCAUCGCUUUGCUUCACCCAACAGAGAGAACGGAAAAAGUGUGACCCUCACAUAGUCUGGAGUAACCCCAUUAGUAAUGUAAGUAUCACUAAUCUCCAAGAAAUUCAGGAUAUGCUAUUUUGGAUCCUCGUGUGGAAGACCCAUAAACUGCCCGUUCGCAUGAAGUAGCUGGAUCAUGCUCUAUUUCAGCUCAAAGUGCCCAGUGAUUCUGGGCUUCACAAUGUUGGAGGUGACAUUAGCAAUGAUGGGCAUCGCUACCUCCUGAACAACCAUAUGUUGCUCCUCUGUCAUGUUCACAGGAAAUUGAACAAGUACCUGAAGAUUAUUUGUAUCCCUUGCUUCCCUCAACCUCCUAUGAAAUAUUCUCUCAGGUUCGGGGUCAAAGCCUUGAAGUUUGUCCUGGCUUCUGGCCCUUCGCAUUCAAUUAAAGUUCCUAAGAGCAGAGCAACAAUAAAGUAACAUUAGGCGUGACGAAAUAAACAAUUAUAGCAAGAACUAGAAAGUAGUCAAUAUUCAAGUUCCCGGCAACGGCGCCAAAAACUUGUUGCUCCCAAAUGUUUCUCGUGUGUAUUCUCUCUUCAAAGUGGCGCUCCCCAUCUAAAAAUAAGUUUGGUCUUGCUUUUAUACGCGUUGAGCAGGUCUAGGGUCGAAAUAACCUUGUCCCGGGCAAAGUUGGACAAACUUCCGUCGCCAGCGUCUAACCCAGCGCCCCCUGCUGGCCCUAGCGCUGGGCUUCUUGAUUAUUCUGCCUGUGGCGCUAAAAAUCCGGGGCUUCCUUUUUUCGUCUGUUUUGGCUCUAAUCUCGCACCUUUCGCCCCCAAUUGCUUCCGGAUGAUUCCUACACAUAAAAACACUCCCAAUUAAUAUAAAUCAACAUAUUUUACAUCCGAAAUCCACGAAAUACAAGUAAAACAUGAGGCGAUAUACAUAUAAAUAUAUAUACUUUAAGCUAAAUAUCAACUAAGUAAUAUUAUGUAGGAGGAUCUCUCAUGAUUUGUUCAGUCAUAGCAUCGAAGCGAAUUAAAAGGAUUUGUGGAAAGAUAUCCCCACCUCUUGUAAUGGUUGCCUUAACAUUAUAAAGUUCAUUUCAACAUAAUUAUAUCUACAACCUAUAACUGAAGCAAACACCAUGGCAAUCAAUGAAUAUAUGCACAUAUAAAAAGAAAUAAACAUCAAGCAUGAAGAAAAUAACCUUUGCUACAGAGUAAAUUCAUUCACAAAAGAAAGACUAAGAAAAACAGAAAAAAUAAAGGAAAUCCCAAGCUUAUAAGACCUAAGAUUCUUGGUGAUGGAAGAUCCAAAAGAUAGUAUCAACCUUUCUAUCGAAAAUGCUUUCUCUGUUUUGCACUAUUUAUACUGUUCAAGUGUUUGAUGAAUACUUUGCAUGGCCUUUUAUCUCUUAAAUUCAUAUUGAGGUUAGGAAGAUAGAAAGAAUGGCCAUUGAGUUCUCUAAACAUCGGUAAAUGAAUUAACCGUCUCUAUUCUCAUUCUUGAUGACUACAAACUCUUGAUAUUUGUUGGAGUAUUUAUUAGAAUGUAAGUUUACAUUUUUAUAAAAAAAAAUUAUAUAGGAGUUGUGUUUGAUUGAAGGAUAAAACUGUCACUCAUUUAAGUGUCCUAGAUACAGCAAAUUAAAAACGACUAAGUAACUUAUAUCUUUCUUCAUAUGAUAUAAUGAAUUCUACGUAAAUUUUCUUAUUCCUUAUGUAAGUAAAGCAUUUUAUAACAGAUUAAUUACCUGGUGACCAAGUUUCCGUUAGGAGCAUAAUAUAUAUGUAAAUCAAUAUUAAAAGAGGCUAAUUGAUAUGAUAAGAUAAUAGCGAGACAAGAUCACAAGACAUGUGACUAUCGACGGAAAAAAUGUAACUCAAAGCAUAUGAGGCGUUACAUGUAUAGCUUAUGUAAUGUUUGUUGGACGUUUGACCUGUUGAUCAGCUUUACGGACAGAAGCAAUGACUUUGCCUUAACACAUGUAAUAGUAUUUAUGUAAAAUAAUAAUAUUACAUUGUUGAUCAGCGUUAGGUACUCACCAUAUUAGACGUACCUCGAAGUUGCUCUUCCUGUUUGUCUUGGUUUCCAGCAGUCAAAUUUAAUGUUGAUGAUGACACAUUUGUAGUCAUCUUCCAAAGAGCGUAUGCAAAUUUUCCUCAAUCUAUGGAGAGAAAGUUAAGUAAUUAAUUUGGAAAUAAUUGGAGAUUUUUAAAGUGAACAAAAUUAUUAGUAAUUAUUUUUGUGUGUAGCUUAUUUUGCCCUUUUUGUGGCCUGAGUAAUAUCCUGUUUGACAUAGUGGAACAAUUGAUAACAGUUAUAUAUAUUUCAAGUGAUGAAACAACAAAACUUUAGACCAAUACAUUGAUUUGUUCGAGAUAUUUAAAGUGAUUGCUUAUCCACGAGCGUUAAACCAAUACUUUAAACACCUUGAAGAGUUUGUGACAACAUGAAAUUUAUUAAGUUAGUGUCCAAAGGAUGACAAAAUACAUGACUGAAGAUCCGACAGAAAGAAUGGACCUCGUCGAAUGACUAAAACUUUAAUUACCCAUUCUGUAGCAUAUUUCUUCAACUUGCUAAUAGGUAUGCACAUUUUUCCUAACUCUUCUUUGUUUGCCAUCGUAAGUUAUCCUGUAGUAGCUAGGAGAAUAGAUGCAAACACAAUAUAUAGUUGUAAUAUAGAGACGUAUUUUACCUAUUUAAUAUAUAUCCUUUAGAAGUUGAAGCACCAAAUGCAAUAUAUAUAUAUAGUUGCAAGACAAGAGUAAAGUUGAAAUAAGCUACUGAUUCUUGAAGUUUAAUUGGAAAAUCAAGCAAUGUCAGCUGGCAACAUAUAUGAAUAUUUUAAUAAAGUUUAAAGGUAAUGACAAGAGUGUAAAAUUAUUACCAAUUUUGUGAUGCGACAACCAAAAAACCUGUAAAGAAAAAUGUACGAGAAAGAAUAUAAGGAUAAUGGGACAACGACACCUUAUUGUGCACUUAUAUAGAGUCCUGGGAAGAAUCUGAAAAGGCAUGUAGAAGGAGUUAUUAUGGAAGAUGAAAGAAACAAAAUAUAAAGAGUGAAAGAACUGCAAAUAAUAAGUUAAGGAAUGAUUUUAGUGACUUUAUUAGGGGAAGA